rnacentral:rRNA from 1 species
UACGGGGGGGGCAAGCGUUGUUCGGAAUUACUGGGCGUAAAGGGCUCGUAGGCGGCCAACUAAGUCAGACGUGAAAUCCCUCGGCUUAACCGGGGAACUGCAUCUGAUACUGGAUGGCUUGAAUCCGGGAGAGGGAUGCGGAAUUCCAGGUGUAGCGGUGAAAUGCGUAGAUAUCUGGAGGAACACCGGUGGCGAAGGCGGCAUCCUGGACCGGUAUUGACACUGAGGCGCGAAAGCCAGGGGAGCAAACGGG